rnacentral:rRNA from 1 species
AAUUAAAAUUAUUAGAUAUAUUUAUUUUUGUCUUACAAACCAAAACAUUAUUAAAUUUAGUAAAGGCGAUUUAAAAUUAUUUCAUAUCUUUAAAUAAAGUACUGUAAAGGAAUUAAAAUAAAUUAUAAUAUAAAAAAAAUUAAAUUUUGUACCUUUUGCAUCAUGGUUUAACUAGAUUUUAAUUGAGUAUACAAUUUCUCGAAAUUUAAUGAGCUAUUUUUAACUGUCAUAUUAGUGACUAAAAGGUUAAUUGUAGCAAAAAUUUCCUUAGAGUUAAAAAUAGAAGUGAAAUUCCAUUCGCAUUAAAUGAUAGCUAGUUCUUCUUAAAAAGCAUAGAAGUGCUAUAAACUAAUUUUUCUUUGUAAAAUAAUUAUUAAAUAAUAUUUAGUUUAUUUAGACUUUUGAGGAUAAGCUCGAAAGAUUUAAUAAAUAUUUGUAUUUUAUUUAUAUUUAAAUUUAGGCUUGAAAAUAGCUAAAAUCUAUAGAUUUUGUUACAAUUUCAUUAUGCAAAUAAAAAUAUAAUUAAUUCACUAAGAUCAAAAGAAGGAACCUCGAAAAUUAAUAAGUGAGCUAUGUUUAUGUUAAAAUGAGUAUUAUUAAUUUUGAUUGAUUAAAAGCAUAUAAUUUUAAAAUUUACUUUUAUAUAUUUAUUUUAAGUUAUAAAAAGGAACUCGGCAAAUAAAUAUUCUGCCUGUUUAUUAAAAACAUGGCUCUUUGUAAUAAUAAAAUAAAGAGUCGGACCUGCCCGGUGAGAUUUUUAACGGCCGCGGUACUCUGACCGUGCAAAGGUAGCAUAAUCAUUUGCCUUAUAAUUGAAGGCUGGUAUGAAUGGUUUGACAAGAAUAUAGCUGUCUCUUUAUAACUUAAUAGAAUUUUAUUUUAAGGUGAAGAAGCCUUAGUAAAAUUAAAAGACAAGAAGACCCUAUCGAGCUUUAAAAAACUUAAUAGAACUAAAUUAAUAUACAAUAAAAAAUUAACUAUUAAAAAUUUUGGUUGGGGCGACUGAGGAACAAAGAAAACUUCCUUUAUUAAAUAAAUACAUUCAAGUAUUGAUCCAAACUUUUUGAUUAAAGAAAUUAGUUACCGUAGGGAUAACAGCAUAAUCUUUUUUGAGAGUCCUUAUCGAAAAAAAGGCUUGUGACCUCGAUGUUGGACCAGAAUAUCCUAAAGAUGCAGAAGUCUUUAAGGGUUGGUCUGUUCGACCAUUAAAAUUCUACGUGAUCUGAGUUUAGACCGGCGUGAGCCAGGUCAGUUUCUAUCUUUAAUUUAUUAAAUAGGCUCAGUACGAAAGGAUCAGUCUAUUAUAAUAACUAUAUUACAAAAUGAAAAAAUAUAAUAAAAACUUAAAUUUAUA